rnacentral:rRNA from 1 species
UACGUAGGGUGCAGGCGUUAAUCGGAAUUACUGGGCGUAAAGCGUGCGCAGGCGGCUUUGCAAGACAGAUGUGAAAUCCCCGGGCUCACCUGGGAACCUGCAUUUGUGACUGCAUGGCUAGAGUACGGUAGAGGGGGAUGGAAUUCCGCGUGUAGCAGUGAAAUGCGUAGAUAUGCGGAGGAACACCGGUGGCGAAGGCGGCAUCCUGGACCAACACUGACGCUGAGGAGCGAAAGCCAGGGGAGCAAACGGG